rnacentral:rRNA from 1 species
UACAGAGGUCUCGAGCGUUAGGCGGAAUCACUGGGCUUAAAGCGUGUGUAGGCGGAUCGGUAAGUACCUUGUGAAAUCCCACAGCUUAACUGUGGAACUGCUUGGUAUACUGCCAGUCUUGAGCCACUUAGGGGCUACCGGAACAAAUGGUGGAGCGGUGAAAUGCGCAGAUAUCAGGAGGAACACCGGUGGCGAAGGCGGGUCUCUGGGCCGUAACUGACGCUGAGGAGCGAAAGCAUGGGGAGCGAACAGG